ACGGGUGCGGAACACGUACGCAACCUUCCUUCAAAUGGGGAAUAGCCUUUCGAAAGAGAGAUUAAUACCCCGUAACAUUUUCUGGUGGCAUCACUGGAUUAUUAUAGCUCCGGCGUUUGAAGAUGGGCGUGCGCCUGAUUAGGUAGUUGGCGGAGUAACAGCCCACCAAGCCUACGAUCAGUAACUGGUGUGAGAGCACGACCAGUCACACGGGCACUGAGACACGGGCCCGACUCCUACGGGAGGCAGCAGUAAGGAAUAUUGGUCAAUGGACGCAAGUCUGAACCAGCCAUGCCGCGUGGAGGAUGAAGGUCCUCUGGAUUGUAAACUUCUUUUAUCGGAGAAGAAACCCUAGCAUUCUUGCUGGGUUGACGGUACCCGAUGAAUAAGCAUCGGCUAACUCCGUGCCAGCAGCCGCGGUAAUACGGAGGGUGCAAGCGUUAUCCGGAUUCACUGGGUUUAAAGGGAGCGUAGGUGGGGUGGUAAGUCAGUGGUGAAAUCUCCGGGCUUAACUCGGAAACUGCCGUUGAUACUAUCAUUCUUGAAUAUUGUGGAGGUAAGCGGAAUAUGUCAUGUAGCGG
rnacentral:rRNA from 1 species